UGCCAACCGGGUGUCCGCACUAAGUUCAGCAUCAAUAUGGUGACCUCCUGGGAGCAGGGGGCCACCAGGUUGCCUAAGGAUGAAUGAACUGGACCAGAUCAGAAAGGGAGCAGGUCAGGACUCCCGCACCGACCGGUAGUGGGACUGUGCCUGGGCA
rfam:Homo sapiens chromosome 15, GRCh38 reference primary assembly.